ACUUUGAAAUCUUCAGAGAAGAAUUUCUCUUUAGUUCUUUGCAAGAAGGUAGAGAUAAAGACACUUUUUCAAAAAUGGCAAUGGUAUCAGAAUUCCUCAAGCAGGCCUGGUUUAUUGAAAAUGAAGAGCAGGAAUAUGUUCAAACUGUGAAGUCAUCCAAAGGUGGUCCCGGAUCAGCGGUGAGCCCCUAUCCUACCUUCAAUCCAUCCUCAGAUGUCGCUGCCUUGCACAAGGCCAUAAUGGUUAAAGGUGUGGAUGAAGCAACCAUCAUUGACGUUCUAACUAAGCGAAACAAUGCACAGCGUCAACAGAUCAAAGCAGCAUAUCUCCAGGAAACAGGAAAGGUAAGUUAGAGUGGUAAAUUUAGAUAUUUAAUUUCAGCAUAUUUAUACUUAACCAUGGAUUCGGAAGCACGGUUACCUAGUUCUUUAAGUUACUAACCGCUGUUUUCUCAUUACAUCUAUGAUUGGGAUUGCAGUGUUUAUCCACUUUGUUGCAAUUUAAUCAAUUUUAUCAAAUUUCCUAUUUUUAUACCUUAGUCAUCUUGGUGUAUAUUGUUUGCAGAUGUGGUGCUCUGGGGACAAAUUUUUAAUUUGAACGUAAACAUUGAGAUUGCUGCUGUCAAUAAAGAAUAUUGUCUGAUUGAAAUGUACUAAUAUUUAAACUGAGCUGUUUAAUGCCUAAAGUUUAUAUAUAAUUCUACCUUAAAAAUAAGCCUUAUGUCUUUUAUACGAAAUGAGUAGUUUUCUAAAACAAUGAAAUUAGAAAACUGUGUAAUUUCAAUAUCUGAUUAUACUG
rnacentral:sRNA from 1 species